AGAUAAAUACACUUACAAUAAUUGGCUGAGUGCGGUGACGGAAAGCCGGUUAUAAAACCAGAGAAAAAAACCCGACCCCUUGUCGGUGCUCGUCAGAAGAUUAGCAUGAUCCUCAACAUUGCAUGAGCUCAGAGGUCGAUACUGGUGUUGUCAAUAUUCGAGUUCAAAAGGAGUCCUUACCUUUGUUUCCCCCUUUUCAGCCUUGCUUUCCCCUUGGCGAUGCCCUGACAUCCAUGUCCAUUCUGGGCUGGUGUAAGGCAGUUCGCGGAGCCGUGUUCUGCCAGUGGUGACAGACUCGCAGG
rnacentral:sRNA from 2 species